rnacentral:rRNA from 1 species
CUAAGCAGUGAGGUGUGGUAUGAGUCAAAUGCUUAUAUCUAUAACAUUGAGCUGUGAUGGGGAGCGAAGUUUAGUAGCGAAGUUAGUGACGUCACACUGCCAAGAAAAGCUUCUAGCGUUUAAACAUACUCUACCCGUACCGCAAACCGACACAGGUAGUCGAGGCGAGUAGCCUCAGGUGAGCGAGAGAACUCUCGUUAAGGAACUCGGCAAAAUGACCCCGUAACUUCGGGAGAAGGGGUGCUGAUUU